rnacentral:lncRNA from 1 species
GCAGUAUGAGUAGGAGUUGGUUAUUUCUGCUUCAAUCUUGAAAAAUCUCUCAUCAGGAGGAUGUUUAAGAGAAUAGAGUUGAUGAGAUCUUAAGUGGUCAUCUACUUUAUUCUCCUGCUUUCCAAUGGCACCAACUAUGCAAAUUAAAUUUCAUUCAGUAAUUCUUGCAUGUUCUGGAUCUAUGCUAGGGGACAGGGAUGUAAAGAGACUUUCAACCUCAGGAGCCCAAACAGUAACAACAGAUAGGGGAGGUAGACCAGUAACAGAUUAGAGAAAACAUCAAGCAGAAGGAUGCGUGAGCUCAGAAGGGCCCAUGGAAGGAUCUUUCAAUUGAGUAUAGUGACUUGAAUGUGAAUAUUCACCUCUGCUCACUCUUUAACCCACAUUAAAAUGAAUGUGAAGGAAUAAAAUAAAUAUGCACAAACCCAAAAGGACAAAGAGAAUUGCGGGAGACUACAAUGAGUGGGAACCUUCACUGAAUCUGGUAGGGUGGAAAAUACAGGAAGUAGAGGAAUAUGACUAGCAAGUGCCUGCAGAGACCCUCUGGGUCAAAGAACUGGC